CUCCACUUCUGCAGUCUAAUAUUAAAGGCACCAUGAUAACUUAGUACGUAUAUCAUCACCAACAACACAUUAAUAUUGAUAUAUAUUGCCAUAUUGUGGUCUGUUCUGAAAUCAACAUACAACUUAUUUUGAUCUCUACAAUUCCCAAAGUUUUUGUGUUGAUUAGCACUGCCCUCUUGCUCCGUGGAUUUUUUUCAUAAAUUAAGGAUUUAUUUGACAUCGACAUAUAAUGAGCAAAAGAAAGAGGGUGUCUUCGUGUUCAUCAUCAUCUUCAAAAUCGUAUACAUCAAAGAUGAGUUUUCUCGAGGUAACUUCGAAGCCAACUAAACAAGAUAGUGAGGAGCAGUAUGCAAAAUUUAAUUCAGUAGUUACAAAGGAGAUGGUUCUUGUUGGUUGUCCUAGAUGUUUCAUGUAUGUUAUGUCAUCGGAGGUUGAGCCAAAGUGUCCCAAGUGCGAGACUACUACUGUAUUUCUUGAUCUUUUCGGACAGGAAGAUUAAGAUUGUCGAUUGAGUUAAGAAUAAAGUAGUGAGGUAAUGCUAGAAAAACUUACUUUAAUACUCUCAUUCACUUUUUUAUCGGAUAAAAUCACGUAGAUCACACCACUUAAUGUAUUACUUAUUUUUAAAAUGGUAGGAUCUACAAGAAUUUUACCAAACAAAAAAGUUGAAGAUGUUAAAGUAAAUGUUUCUAGCACUCCUUUAAGAAGAAUAAAUAUGGAACUAUUUUGUGUUAAUUAGUUUGAUCGAAAAUGCAAUUGUACGAAUUACUCUAAUUUUAUGAUCUCUAAUAUUUCCAAUGAUUCCCCAUGUUGAGAGUGAGGGAGAUGCUCGUGUAAUCUCUUGUUGUUUUCUUUAAUUGGUGGAUUAUGUUAGUUUUUGGAA